AACGCUGGAUGCCCGCUAUAUGCCCCUUAGGGUAUGUGGCCAAGUGAAAACGUUAAGCAUCCCACCUGGGGAGUACGCCGGCAACGGUGAAACUCAAAGGAAUUGACGGGGGCCCGCACAAGCGGAGGAACAUGUGGUUUAAUUCGAUGAUACGCGAGGAACCUUACCCGGGCUUGAAUUGCUGAGGAAGGCUUCAGAGAUGGAGCUGCCCUUCGGGGCUUCAGUGAAGGUGCUGCAUGGCUGUCGUCAG
rnacentral:rRNA from 1 species